rnacentral:lncRNA from 14 species
GCGGAUCCAGUUGGUUGUGCUCUCUUAGGCAAGUACGAGUGACUUCGGCGGUUUUCUCCAUUCCGCUUACCUUCCGGAGUCUUCAUUUCUACAACCGUUGACUGAAAAGCAGCCGAAAUUUUUUUUUGUUCUGUGAGGGAAACGACGACCAGAUGACAAUGCGGACGACAACCAUCAUCCCCCUCAUUCCAAGAGGACAAGGAAGGACCAGACCGAACAGGAUCCUUGUGCUAUAGAGUGUCUCUGACUCCUCUGAUUCUGCUUCCAGAAGGAUUCACCUAAUAAUUGACUGUGAGAAUCUGCAUAUGCUCCCAUCUGUUGAAGGAUGAAGUCUCUCUGCUGAUGAGGCUGCUAGGCUCUAGUCCCAGAACACUACAGGGAAAAAGCCAAUCUUCUCAAGAAUCCCACUUCUUCCCAGAGACUCUGGCCACAUUCAGACACAGUUCCUGAGAGACCUGAGCAGGAGGGCCCAGUUUCUCAGAACUGUUCGUAGAGGCUCAGCUCAGAGAGCUGGGCUACCUCUCUCCUCGAAAGACCACCAGACAUUGGACAGCAUCUGUCAUCAGCAAGAACUGAAGAGGAGUUUGGCACCCAGGCAGCGUGGGACAGGGUCCAGAGACAGCAAAAGGUGGUCUGCUACUAUCAGAGCCCUCUGAAAGGUACCCAUUGGUCACUCCAAACACUACCCAAUGAGAAAUAGAAGAAACACUGAAGAAAUCAUUGUUCCUAGACAUACCUAGCAUCUGUUUCAGCCAAAAUCAUCGAGAGAUCACUGAAGAG